AAUAAAAUUAUUCAUGACUAACCAUACCUUAGCAAGUAUUAUUCCACUACAUAUUCAAAACAGCAAUUUAUGACCACUUAUACACUAAACUAACUUGACCACUAAUAACAAGAUAAAGUCCAUCUGGUUUAGCUUGCCAAAGACAUCUACCAUUGACCAUUGUAACAUGUAUUUGGUUCUUUUGAAGGAUCGAACACAACAAAAUUCCCAUGCAAAUUUCCAGAACUUAAUUCACAUGAUUCAUUUGGAUUAUCAACACUUGUAUCAACGGACAUAUUAAGUACAAAUCCACCAGCAUAAAAGUUAUCAACGAGUUCUGCUAAAACAUCUGUAUCCCCACCUACUUUCUGCAACAUGCUGUUGAACGCGGUCUUCAAAUGCUUUCUACCCUCUGGUUGACUCCAGAGAACGCUAAGGACAUGCGAGGAGUAGACAGGUGCAGGCUUAGCUACCAACUGCUGACCAUCUUCUUCAUAUCCGUUGAGACUUGGCACGUACAGAAUCAAAUCAGAAAAGAGCAUGAGGGAAGCAAAUGCCUAAGGGAAACCAAUAUCAGAUAAGCAAGCAACUACCUGUUUAUAAUCUCUAACAUUCUUGGCCAUUCAGCAAAUUUGUAAUGCACAUCCAUGAUGCCAGGAGUUCUCGUUACGAAUUGGCUAGUCUUUCCCAGUUCUUUGCAUAAGGGGAUCAUUUUUCUCAUUGUAAGGAAAUCCAUAUUUGACAUCCUUACAAUGGUUGUUCGUGGUGCAUCGAUUCUCAAGAUUGAUAGUUUCUCUCCAUGCAUGAUCAAUGCAUGCUUUUCAAUAGCAAUUUCUUUGCCCUCUACUGUCUGGGAGAAGAAGCGUUUCAUUGUAAAUAACUAAAACCUCAACUAGUCAAACUACAUGAUUGGUCAUUGGAUGAACUCAAAAGAGGAAAACAAGGAAACUUAUUCCAAUAAAAGCAAAUUACCUCAAAUUCCACAUAAGCAACGGAGCUUGACGAACCAAAGAAAAUUCCAGUUAUGUUGCUUAUGCAGAAGGCUAGAGCUUCUUCAAUGUCGCGAAAGGUCACAUUGUGCUUGAAUUCUUUUAUCAUAACUGUCCUUGAAGGAUGCUUUACUAACGAGGUGGGAACUUCUGGAUAACCAAUUAAAUCAGGUAUACACGUGGCCUCCAAAACUACCGUAUCCAUAAUCAUCACAUCAGAUCUUUUAAGAGCCUUUUGCCUUCCCUCUUGUGACUGCAAAAACCAAAAAAUGAUAAGUGGAAACGAAAUGUGAAACUGGCUGUUCAAAUCAUGAGCCUAUGCUUCCACCAUUUUGUAUCUCAAAAUGGAGACAUUUUAUUCACAGCAGCACAAAGUUGAUACUGAACAUAUCAUUUUGUGCAAGCCAUGUGAAGAAGGGACACAAAAGGGAAGUGCAUUGACGAACAUACUUCCAUAAGAAAAUCAAACCAUGACAUAUUAUCAGUUUUAGCCCCUCAAAUUGAACAUAGAGAGGGUGUAUUGUAAAUAGCAGAGCCCUAUUUUUGUACUAGUUACACAUUUUAAAAAGUAUUUAGUGUAAACUUGGUAUAACAUUAAAUAAAUUUCAUUGUUGCAUCUAUUCAUUAAACAACAGGGUAGUACAGCUAUACUUCCUUCAAGUUAAGGAACUAACUUCAGUCCCUACACUUCUCUCCAUCUCCUUGAACAAGCAAAACUAAGGUGCAGUUGAACCAGAUUUAUUUGCAGAAACUCUAUGUGAUGUCCUAGAUAUCUCAACUUGCAUUUGAUGUUCUACAAAACAUGCUUCCUCAGAUUUUGAAAGGAUCUCUUCUUCAGAACUGAUUUGUAC